UAGAGGCAUCGUUGGCGGUGCCUGUAAGUGUAUGCCGGAGGUUCACUAGCGACUUUUAAAUCUAGUUCUCCGCUUCACUUACAGCGGACAAGCUGACCACCUUUAG
rnacentral:pre_miRNA from 2 species